rnacentral:rRNA from 1 species
CCUACGGGGUGCUGCAGUGAGGAAUAUUGGUCAAUGGACGAGAGUCUGAACCAGCCAAGUAGCGUGAAGGAUGACUGCCCUAUGGGUUGUAAACUUCUUUUAUAAAGGAAUAAAACGAGGCACGUGUGCCUUUUUGCAUGUACUUUAUGAAUAAGGAUCGGCUAACUCCGUGCCAGCAGCCGCGGUAAUACGGAGGAUCCGAGCGUUAUCCGGAUUUGUUGGGUUUAAAGGGAGCGUAGAUGGGUUGUUAAGUCAGUUGUGAAAGUUUGCGGCUCAACCGUAAAAUUGCAAUUGAUACUGGCAGUCUUGAGUACAGUUGAGGUAGGCGGAAUUCGUGGUGUAGCGGUGAAAUGCUUAGAUAUCACGAAGAACCCCGAUUGCGAAGGCAGCUUACUAAACUGUGACUGACAUUGAUGCUCGAAAGUGUGGGUAUCAAACAGGAUUAGAUACCCUAGUAGUC